rfam:Triticum aestivum genome assembly, contig: Triticum_aestivum_CS42_TGACv1_scaffold_621658_7DS
AAAUUACCCCCUCCGUCCAGAAAUAAUUGUCGAAGAAAUGAAUGUAUUUAGAUGUAUUUUGGUUCUAGAUACAUCUCUUUUUAUCUAUUCCAUGAUAAGUAAUUCCGGACGGAGGGAGUAGUAC